rnacentral:lncRNA from 1 species
CCAGAAUGCUGCAUUUCUAACACUCUCCCAGAUGGUGCCAAUGUUCCUCAUCCACAGACCACAGCUGAAGUAGCAACUAUGUAAACCUCAGGCUACUCAUCACAGUGCAGAGUGAUUUCACCUAAAGGCACAACAGCAGCUGAUUGCCACAAUACAAACAAGAGCCGCCACUUACUGACAGCAGCUACGUGCCAGGUAAGUCAAAUGAGGAAGAACACCUUCAGUGUGGGGGAGAAAUGGGUCUUCAACGUCAUCUUAGACCAGUGGCUCUCAAAGUAUAUAACAGCAGCGUCAACAUCAGCAUUAUCUGGGAACGUGUUGGAGAUGUGAAUUCUUGGGUUCCACUUCAGACAACGAAUCAGAAAUUCUGGGAAGACAGCUGUCUGCUCACCAAGAAGAGGACCCUCAUCAGACACUGGAUCUACUGGCAUCUUGAUCUUGGAUUUUCUAGCCUCUUUAACUGUGAGAAAUAAAAUGUUUAAG